AUUCUGCAACAAGAGGAACGGCCAUUUAAAAAAGAAAAGAAAGUUAAAAGGUGUCAUGUGUGGAAUGCGCUAAUAUUUGUUUUCUAUUUAUUAUUGUGUGUGAUGUGGACAAACAAAUCCCUUGAUUGAUUUGCCGUUUCGUCGUUAUUUUCUUUAAAUGAAAUAAUUUUCGCCAUGUUCUUGCUUCAGUAUCGGACCGCAAAAUUAUUUCAAAAUAAGUUCGUAUAUUAAACUUUUAAAUCUACUUUUCACACAUCAAAACAUCGUCCUGAACCUUUGAUAAAAGGCAUACAGUAUUCUGUAACUAAUAUUUGUUUAAAUAAGAUAGUCUGCAUCAUAAAAAGUAUAUCCUUUAAAAGUUAUUCUUCAAUUUCUCGUCCAUAAAAAUGCUCGUUAUCAAUUAAUUCGAUAUUGUGACCUAUUCAUCAUUAUGGAACUCCGUUCAAACAGUGAUGUUGGGAGAGUGAAAUCAAAAAAACCCGUGUCAACAGCAAAAUUCUGCGUGGUAUGCUUAGCCACAGAUUGUAAAUUGUACCCUCUGAGCAAAUAUGGUCUGGCAGAGGCGUAUCGCAACUUGACUGAUAAAUCCCUCCUGUGCAACGUGAACUUUGCACCGGAAUUUUGCACAGAGUGUGCACAGAGGUUGGUAAACUGUGACAAGUUUAGAGACAAAAGUUUGAGAAGUUUCGACCUGUUGUUACAACUGUGUAAAAGGAAACAAGUGUUAACAACAGAAGACAUAAAAGAAAUUGACCGAACGCAAAAUCAACUUGCAUCAAAUAUAAGCCAGAAAAUAUACAAUCCUGAUCACUGUGACUCACACGUAAUACAUAAUCCGAUAGAACAAACAGGACAUUUACAAAUUGAUAUAAAACCGAAAAUAGAAGAAUUAAAUGAUGCAAAUAGUGAAGAAGAAUACCUAGCAGAUGAUAUAGAUCAUGGCACAGAGUUUAUAUAUGAAUACAAUGAAGAAAAACAUACAGAAAUCGAUACAGACGAUUCAGAUCAAUUUAUAUAUAUUAAAAAUGAGACAUUAAAUAAAAAAUGUGACAAUGUCACAGACAGCGAGAGUGAUGUAGAAAUAAUAAAUGAUGUUGAUGAUGAAAAAAAACUUGAUACGAAAAACAGUGAUUAUGUUUUAGUAAUCGUCGAACCUAAAGAUACAAAUGCAGUUGAAAAAGGCAACACAAGUGAUGCAAAAAAACGUAAAAAGGCAGUGAAAAAAGAUGAAUUGUCCCCAAAAAGAAAAACACCGAAGAUGAGAUUAAAGAAAAAGACAAAAAAAUCAAUUAAAUCUGGCAAUCAGGAUUAUUUAAAGUAUUUUGAAGUCACCAAGUUGAGUCUGGAAGAGCAACUGGCUACAAUACAGAGUAGGAAGGAGGCGCCGAACUUCAAAAAGUCUCGCUACAAAUGUAUGACGUGCUACAAAGGAUUUUCAAAUGUUACUACAUAUGAAGCUCAUAUGGCCAGACAUACUGAUAAAUAUGGUCCAUUUGUAUGUGAGAUAUGCGGCCUACAUAACAAAUCAAGUGACAGAUAUCGUCACCAUGUCAAAAACCACAGCCGUGUGUACAGCUGCAAUGUCUGUCCGUUUGUCACUACGUAUGACAUAACAGCAGAGAAACACGCGCUCUGGCACGACGGCAUCACUUACAAGUGUGAAAUAUGCAGUGCAGAGUUCAGUAAGAAAACAACAUACUUGUCCCACCUGCGUAUAUGGCACCCCUCUGACGUGGUGUGCACUCUCUGCGGUUGCUCCUUUAUCAACGACCGAGGUCUGCGGCUGCACAUGAGCUACAAGCAUCGCUCCAACGACAUAGAGAGCCCCUCGGGUCCGAAGUGCGAGCCGUGCAACAUUCGGUUCGCAUCUGAGAGCGCCUACCAACAACAUCUGGACGUGUCCCUCAAACAUGCCGACGAUUCCACGUUGGAGCCAGACUCUCCAAAGAUACCGAACAACAAAUUGAAUAUGAAGCAUGCGCCCAGAAGCAGGCAAGACAUCCAGACAGUGGAGUGCGAACUGUGCGGUACACAGUUGAAAGGCUUCAAGCUGUAUGCCCUCCACUUCAGCAAGAUCCAUCCGGACAAGACGAGCAGUCAGCUCCGUCCAAACUUGGAGCAGUUCCUGUGCGAUCAGUGCGGGAAGUCCUUCAAGUACCCCAGCCUGUUGAAGGACCACCAGCUGGUGCACUCCGGCGUGAGGAAGUACCAGAGCGACAAGUCGUACCCCUGCCCCAUCUGCGGGAAGAAGUUCACGCUCAAGGGCAACACUGACCGCCACAUGUGGACGCACAAGAACGUAAAGCCCUUCAAGUGUCACUCGUGCGAGAAGACGUUCGUGAACCCGUCGGACCGCGCGCGCCACGUGCUGCACGUGCACCUCAAGCAGCCGUGGCCCAAGAAGAACCCCGGCCCGCGCAUACGCCGCAGUCGCACGCUGCACGCCAAGGAAACCAGCGAGAUCAAAUGGCGCGAAGGUGAGCUUUGUAUAUAGUAUGUAAUCCCUCUUUCGCAUAAAACUGUGCCUACAAUUCCCCCAUCUCCCUCGCAUCUACUCCGUCUACAUUACUCCCUCAUCUCUCUCUUGUACGUCACUCCCCUACCUCUCGCAUCUGCCCCGUACUCCCUGUGUCUCACCCCGUCUUGUACUCCUCAAGCAGCCGAAGGUAAGCUUUGUUAAUAGUAUGUAAUCCCUAUUUGGCAUCAACUGUGUCUACAAUUCCCCCAACGUAUGUUAGUAGAAUUUAAUUCCCCCAUCUGUCCUGCUCCAUCUACAUCCCUCUCUGUACUCCCUGCGUCUCACCCCCCGUCACGUGCUACACUGUGCACCUCAAGCAGCCGUGGCCCAAGAAGAACCCCGGCCCGCGCACGCGCCGCAGUCGCACGCUGCACGCCAAGGAGACCAGCGAGAUCAAAUGGCCGAAGGGUGAACGUGACGAGGAACUGACAACCGAAGAAGAUUGAAGAGUUUACUUGUAUACAGAAGAAUCAGUACAGAACAUUUCACACCAUUGGUUCACUAAGUGGACCCCCAAGGGUGACCCCCUGCUCAGCAGGGGUCUACGUUGGCGUGACGAACAAAUAACCCGUCGGCUCACUGCUGAGCUCGAGUCUCCUCUCAGAAUGAGAGGGGUUAGGCCGAUAGUCCACCACUAGUGACAUAUCUCUAUUAUAAAAUCUUUGGCACAGAAUGAAUUUUAAUUUUAUUGUUACUUUACUUAUAAAUGUAUAUAAAUGAAAUAAUUUUAUAAAUAAGUUAUGUUUAUGUCAUAGUCAAGUAAUUUACUGCGGUAUAAUUUCCUUUUCUAAAACAAUUAAAUUUUAUUUAAAUAGAAA